rnacentral:rRNA from 1 species
AUUGAACGCUGGCGGCAUGCCUUACACAUGCAAGUCGAACGGUAACGGGCCUUCGGGUGCCGACGAGUGGCGAACGGGUGAGUAAUACAUCGGAACGUGCCCGAUCGUGGGGGAUAACGAGGCGAAAGCUUUGCUAAUACCGCAUACGAUCUACGGAUGAAAGCAGGGGACCGCAAGGCCUUGCGCGGACGGAGCGGCCGAUGGCAGAUUAGGUAGUUGGUGGGAUAAAAGCUUACCAAGCCGACGAUCUGUAGCUGGUCUGAGAGGAUGAUCAGCCACACUGGAACUGAGACACGGCCCAGACUCCUACGGGAGGCAGCAGUGGGGAAUCUUGGACAAUGGGCGCAAGCCUGAUCCAGCCAUGCCGCGUGCAGGAUGAAGGCCUUCGGGUUGUAAACUGCUUUUGUACGGAACGAAAAGCCUUCUUUUAAUACAGGAGGGUCAUGACGGUACCGUAAGAAUAAGCACCGGCUAACUACGUG